GUCCCCUAUGAAAAUCUUACCCAUCUAAAGAGCACGUAGACCUUCUCACGAGAGCUACAAAACAACCAAAAAAUUAAAUCACACCUAAUGCUUUCCUGAAGUCUAGUUCGACCUCUUUCACUUGAUAGAUUUCCCCAAAGACAUCCUUCUCUACCCCGCCACCAAUCAAAAUCCCCUAGUGAGGAGCCCAGAGGUGGUCAGUUGCCAUGUCAAUUACACAAACUAGUGGAUGAUUUCUGCCUCCCUUACUCCUU
rnacentral:misc_RNA from 1 species